AGACGCUUGAGUUUAAGAGUAGUGGAAAUGCAUGCAGCCCCGAGGAAGGACGGCGAAGGCUGAAAGGGCCCCGGGCAGCGACUCCAGGCAUCCCUUCUCUUUGCGCGGCGCUCAGGAGGCACUCAUCAUUGGCCAGAAUAAGUACCUACCUGUCUACACUCCCUCAGACCAGUGACUCGCGUUUUCUUCUCUCUUUACCGGGCUCAGACUGGCAGGCACAACCAGAAUCUCAAUACAGGCUUCGGGAAUGACUCCUAGCAGGAGGGAUGAGGCGCUGGGGAAACAGCAGGGGUUGAAAACACGUUCAUGUUCACGAUCACGGGUAAAGUCCUGGGAUGCACAAGGAAUAGCCCUCCUGCCUCAGGAGUCUGCGCCCCCCAGGUCUCUGCCAGCCCUCAUCUGCCGAAGGAGGUCCCUGGGCCUGGGGCGUUCACGGUCAGGGACCAAGGCCAAAGGGCGGAGGCAGAGGCUCCCGAGGGUCGUACUGCCUCCCCGGCUCCCACCGAGCGUAAUUCCCGUAACCCCCCGCGCGGGGGCUCCUGGAGCGCCCAAACCGCUAGCUGGGGUGGGGGGAGAGAAAGCCGAAGCCUGCAGUCCAAGGACCUGCCUCCACGCCUGCCCAGUCCCGGCCGCCCGCAGCCAGUGGGAGAGACGCCCGGGAGCCAGCUGCCCACACUCGAAAAACGCAGUUUGCUGGGCGAAUUCCCCGCACUGGCCGAGCUCCCUUGGGAGUUCCCGGCCCGGAUGCGAGGGCCCGCAGGUCGCCGCGCCGCCGCCAGGGGGCAGCUCUGCCCCGCGCAGGCACCACCGGGACCCGCGCCCCUCUACUUUCCGCGUGCAUGCGAGCCGCGCGCGCGGGAGAGGGGUCGCCGCGUCGCUUCCCAGGUUCCCCUCUGGGAAAGGUUUUAGUCCCACGUACCAGCUUCGGGGAACUUCGCGAGUGCGGAGCUGAAAGUUGCGUACAAACAUCUAGCUUAAUUAAGCAAACAAAGCAAGUGGUCAUAUCCAAAUGUGAAGCUUCAGUAAAGCUCGCCCAAAUCUUAGUGGCCGUUCCCCGUCUCUGCAGCGGUCCCUCUGGGCUGAUCUUCCACUCUGCCCUUCAGUAAAUCCUAAUACUUUCCCCGGAGUGGCCCGGUGAUAAUUCGCCACGUUUUACAAACGUUUCCAGGGAAGAACCUCUUAACUCUUUGGGGAAGAACUUGCGGACAAAGUUACAAAUGAAUGCAGUCUGUCUCCCGCUCCAUGAACGGAAUGAAGUCUGUAACCCGUCGCCUAAAGUAAUUAAUGGUCUGCGAAGAAAUUUUUCCUGUUUCAUCUUUGAAUACUUCGCCACACACCAACCCUCAGUGCUGCGAAAGUGAUGGUGUUUAUUUAGAUAUCGACUGAGUACUUAUAAAACUUAAACUUUUCAACGUAAAAGUGAACUGCUUCGUAAGGACUCCUGGCUGCAUCAACAAAGCAAUGUGAUGCUUGAUUAAUAGCGCUGAUUAAUGUUGGCUCAAGUUAGUGCUCAGCCUAUUCCAGUAAUUAAAUGGUUCAGCCAUAUAUCAAACGAGAGUCAAUGAAAAAUAAUUUAUUUACAGCGUCGAGGCAUUCUCACAGAUCGUUCAAAGACCUAUGAUAGCCUUUAUGGGUCAUUUGUAAGAGUAAUGCUGGUAGCAGUCCUCAGCACCAAAAAACUCGAAUUUAAAAGAGUUCUUAGAUGGAGGAACAGUUUAUUUUUGACGCUCUGUGAUUGAUAGCGCUAGUAAUGACACG
rnacentral:lncRNA from 13 species